AAAAGCUGAAGAAGAACGAACUAGCACCUGCAACUAGCAAGCGUCAAGGCUUAAAUCUAAAGUCUGCAUGAAGAACCACUCAAAACUCAAGAUCAAGCUUCAGAAGACUUAUAGAUAGGAAUCUUGUAACUCGUAGUUGGUAGGCUUAGCUAGUCUUUUUCAUGUUUUGAUUUUUGAUUUAAUAACAGGACUGCGAACCGGAACCUCGGCAGAACGCACCUCGACCGGCUCCCUACCUCGGUAUACUCCAUCAUCUCCCUAACCUCUGAACUACACGUGGUGUGAUUCCUUUAUAGCCAAGGAUAUGUAGGCAGCUCAGAUACCAGAGCUCGAUCACCUUCCCAUAGUUUUAGUCUCUCCAAAUAAGGGUCGGGUAAAAAAAACCUGUCUAGUCGUUCUUUGUCUGAAAACUCUUCGCGUUUCCAGUCAAAGAGGGGUAGAUGUAGACAUG
rnacentral:lncRNA from 1 species